CGAUAGCAUAAGAAUUUUGGGCACCAUCAAGAAGAAACUGAAAACUUCGAUAGCAUAUCUCAACAAAUUUAAAUUACCACAUAGUUCAACAUUACAUGCAAGGAAAUGACUGGAAGUAAGCAUGACAAUC